GAUGAACGCUAGCUACAGGCUUAACACAUGCAAGUCGAGGGGCAGCGGUAUCGAAAGCUUGCUUUCGGUAGCCGGCGACCGGCGCACGGGUGAGUAACGCGUAUCGAGCCUGCCUCAUACUCGGGAAUAGCCUUGCGAAAGUAAGAUUAAUGCCCGGUGUUUUCAGAGUCCCGCAUGAGGCUUUGAACAAAGAUUUAUCGGUAUGAGAUGGCGAUGCGUCCCAUUAGCUUGUUGGCGGGGUAACGGCCCACCAAGGCAUCGAUGGGUAGGGGUUCUGAGAGGAAGGUCCCCCACAUUGGAACUGCGACACGGUCCAAACUCCUACGGGAGGCAGCAGUGAGGAAUAUUGGUCAAUGGGCGGAAGCCUGAACCAGCCAAGUAGCGUGCAGGAAGACGGCCCUCCGGGUUGUAAACUGCUUUUAGUUGGGAAUAAAACGGGGCUCGUGAGCCCCCUUGCAUGUACCAUCAGAAAAAGGACCGGCUAAUUCCGUG
rnacentral:rRNA from 1 species